UACGGAGGGUGCGAGCGUUACUCGGAAUCACUGGGCGUAAAGCGCGCGUAGGCGGUAAGGCAAGUCAGGCGUGAAAGCCCCCGGCUUAACCGGGGAAGUGCGUUUGAAACUGCCUUUCUUGAGUACCGGAGAGGGAAGUGGAAUUCCCGGUGUAGAGGUGAAAUUCGUAGAUAUCGGGAGGAACACCGGUGGCGAAGGCGACUUCCUGGACGAGUACUGACGCUAAAGUGCGAAAGCGUGGGGAGCAAACAGG
rnacentral:rRNA from 1 species